rnacentral:misc_RNA from 1 species
GAUCAGUACACUUACACUCCCCAUUUCUUCCACCAAAAGACUCUUAAUUACUUCCCAUCACCCAGCACAUGCAAAUGACCUCAUUAGGAUGCAUGUUCUUCCAAGUUCCAGGCAUGCCCCUCCCUAACUCAUCCCUUCCUGUUGGGUAUUACUUGUGCCCUACACUAUUUUCCCCAAUCCACUGACAUUAAAAACCCUCCUAUAAAAAUGCCAAUUUUGCCAAAUUGGUUGAGCUACAAUUUCUUU